rnacentral:rRNA from 1 species
ACAAGGGUAUUGCUCAGUAGCGGCGAGUGAAGCGGCAAGAGCUCAGAUUUGAAAUCGUGCUUUGCGGCACGAGUUGUAGAUUGCAGGUUGGAGUCUGUGUGGAAGGCGGUGUCCAAGUCCCUUGGAACAGGGCGCCCAGGAGGGUGAGAGCCCCGUGGGAUGCCGGCGGAAGCAGUGAGGCCCUUCUGACGAGUCGAGUUGUUUGGGAAUGCAGCUCCAAGCGCGUGGUAAAUUCCAUCUAAGGCUAAAUACUGGCGAGAGACCGAUAGCGAACAAGUACUGUGAAGGAAAGAUGAAAAGCACUUUGAAAAGAGAGUGAAACAGCACGUGAAAUUGUUGAAAGGGAAGGGUAUUGCGCCCGACAUGGGGAUUGCGCACCGCUGCCUCUCGUGGGCGGCGCUCUGGGCUUUCCCUGGGCCAGCAUCGGUUCUUGCUGCAGGAGAAGGGGUUCUGGAACGUGGCUCUUCGGAGUGUUAUAGGCCAGGGCCAAGAUGCUGCUGUGCGGGGGACCGAAGGACUGCGGGCCGUGUAGGGUCACGGGAUGCUUGGCUAGAACGGGCCGCAACACCCGCCCGUCUUAAAAAAGGGGGGCCCAAAAGGUUUUCCCCCCCGUCUAAG